AUUUAUAUAGUUUAAUUCAAAACAUUACAUUUUCACUGUAAAAAUAAAGGCUUUACUUUUAUAAAUA
rnacentral:tRNA from 2 species